GUGAGGAAUAUUGGUCAAUGGGCGAGAGCCUGAACCAGCCAAGUCGCGUGAAGGAAGAAGGAUCUAUGGUUCGUAAACUUCUUUUGCAGGGGAAUAAAGUGCAGGACGUGUCCUGUUUUGUAUGUACCCUGAGAAUAAGGAUCGGCUAAAUCCGUGCCAGCAGCCGCGGUAAUACGGAGGAUCCGAGCGUUAUCCGGAUUUAUUGGGUUUAAAGGGUGCGUAGGUGGUGUGAUAUGUCAGCGGUGAAAGUUUGCAGCUUAACUGUAAAAAUGCCGUUGAAACUGUCGGACUUGAGUGUAAAUGAGGUAGGCGGAAUGCGUGGUGUAGCGGUGACAUGCAUAGAUAUCACGCAGAACUCCGAUUGCGAAGGCAGCUUACUAAGCUACAACUGACACUGAAGCACGAAAGCGUGGGGAUCAAACAGGAUUAGAAACCCUAGUAGUCC
rnacentral:rRNA from 1 species